GCCUCGGUAGUGUAGACGAUCAGCACGGCAGACCGGAUGUCUGUGAGUGUGGGUUCGAGUCCCGCCUGAGGUC
rfam:Dictyocaulus viviparus strain HannoverDv2000 D_viviparus-1.0_Cont116.1, whole genome shotgun sequence.